rnacentral:snRNA from 1 species
GUGUUCACUUCAGCAGCACACAUACUAAAAUUAGAACUAUACAGAGAAGAUUAGCAUGGCCCCAGCACAAGGAUGACACACAAAUUCGUGAGGUGUUCCAUAUUUUA